rnacentral:rRNA from 1 species
ACCAGCUCAAAUUUGAAAUCUGACCGAACGGUCCGAGUUGUAAUUUGUAGAGGAUGUUUUGGGCACCGCGGCAGUUUAAUUUUCUUGGAACAGAAUGUCACAGAGGGUGAGAGUCCCGUCUGGAACUGCGGUAGGGCCUGUGUAAAACCCCUUCGACGAGUCGAGUUGUUUGGGAAUGCAGCUCAAAAUGGGUGGUAAAUUUCAUCUAAAGCUAAAUAUUGGCCAGAGACCGAUAGCGCACAAGUAGAGUGAUCGAAAGAUGAAAAGCACUUUGAAAAGAGAGUUAAACAGUAUGUGAAAUUGUUGAAAGGGAAGCGUUUGCAAUCAGACUUGCGUGUGGUGGUUCCCCCUUGCUUCUGCCUGGGCUACUCCAUCAUAUCCAGGCCAACAUCGGUUUCAGGGGUUAGUUAAAGGCUCGAGGAAUGUAUCAACCCCCGGGUUGACUUAUAGCCUCGGGUGUCAUGCAGCCUCCCGGGACCGAGGAACGCGCUUCGGCGAGGAUGUUGGCGUAAUGGUUGUAAACGACCCGUCUUGAAACACGGACCAAGGAGUCUAACAUCUAUGCGAGUGUUUGGGUGUCAAACCCGUACGCGAAAUGAAAGUGAACGGAGGUAGGAAGCUGUCAAACGCUGCACUAUCGACCGAUCCUGAUAUUUAUGGAUGGAUUUGAGUAAGAGCAUAGCUGUUGGGACCCGAAAGAUGGUGAACUAUGCCUAAAUAGGGUGAAGCCAGAGGAAACUCUGGUGGAGGCUCGCAGCGGUUCUGACGUGCAAAUCGAUCGUCAAAUUUGGGUAUAGGGGCGAAAGACUAAUCGAACCAUCUGGUAGCUGGUUCCUGCCGAAGUUUCCCUCAGGAUAAGGGCG